UCUAGAAAAUUUGAGCUAUGUACUCCAAAUACCUUGUCCUUAAAUGGUUUUAAGAUCGAAAUCUCCAUAAACCAGCCAUUAUCUUAAAUUGCGAGUUGGCAUUUCGCAUUUUGGGCAGCCAACUUGAAUUUUGAAGUUGGGUAAGGUUUCUUGUGGUACAAUUAUGAAGCCUUGUCUGCAAAAGUGCUAUUUUUUAUGCUAUUUAUAUAUAGCAGUUUGACAGCGCGGACAUCAUCGGGACCAGUGGAUACGGAGAUCGGGAGUUCGAUUCCAAGUAGUGUCAAGUACUUUAAUUAUUCAAUUUCUAAAGCGAUAGUUCCAGUUUCACAUGUAUUGCGUCACCGGUAUCCAUAACCUAAUUAUAUUUAAUCGAUUAAUGAGGCUGAAAAAGCGCCUUUUCAAGAUGUUAUUCAGUUAGUGGUUACAUAGGAGCUGAGAAAAGAGCUAUGACUUUGUGGCAUAGAAGCUGCCCGCACAGCAUAUACAUGUGGAUUAAGUUCGCCAGAUUCAUUGGUAUAUGGCUUGCAUGGAAGCUUUCGUCCAUAUGUACAACACAGUACUCAGCAUCAAGUCGUAUUGAGGACGCUUUGUUGAUUUUUACACUCACAAUAAAUGUUAGUUGGGCCAUAUUGUGGAUUUUCUGAGCUCCAGGUUGAAUUCUGCCCACUAUUCUUCAACCAUUCUAAAGGUAGCAAAAAAUCGGCGCAAAUUGAAUUGUCGCAUGAUGGGUCUUAGUUAAUUUUUAUUUAUGGCCACAUAAAGUGUGAAGUGCAUUUCAUCCCGCUCUCUUCUGUUGAAAGCUAUGAGCAGUUUCACACACUGACUGCUGUAGGGCUUCCUGGUGAGUAGGCGUCAAGAAAGUGGCGUGUGCCACAGAGUCCAAAUCAUACCUAAAGGGAAAAUGCGGGAAAUGCUUUCGUAGCUUGCUGGGAGGAAUUUAGUGGCUAUUCCCGCUAUUUCCAAUAAUAUUUCACGUCUUCUUCUGCCCAAUUCUUUUGCGCUUCGUUUUAAACGCAUGAGCAUUGUUUUGCUACUGCUAUUAGUACCGGUAGUUAUUUUUAUGGCUCGCGAAUGUUAUACUUAUGGUUGCCCCGAGCUAGACCUAGGCUACCGACUUCUUUGAAGCACUAGGAUUAGUAUAUUCAAUUAAUUCACUCAAUUCUUAAACGUGAAAACCAUUAGUUCUUUCAUGGAUAGCCAAGACUGUGAAUCUGUGAUUGAUUAUGACGAUUUAAAAACACUUCAUGUUUGUGUUCAUUUACGCGCCGACCAAUUGCAUUGGCUGAUGGAUCUAAAGGAACAACCGUAAAAGCACAGACAAACAGACGUCUUACUCUACUCACUUUCCAUCGUUUCCCUUUUAAACGGAUAAUUCAAAUGUUUUGUAGUACGCAAAUCGCUCACUCACGGCGCUCGCGUCGUUUUCGCUCCUGUUUGGCGUUUGCUCACUACCGCCUAAUUUGCUAUUAUGGUUCCGUGACGAUGAUUUUAAAUGCCUUUUGUUCCAAGUGAUACGUCUGUUUGUGGUAAAAGUGUCACGAUCAGGGUUGUUGGCCAUCAGCAUAAUGACAUUAUAUUCAGUGACGAUGAACAUUUUAUUUCUAUCUUCGUCACAAACAAAACAUCGCUUGACGGUUUAUUCAUGAACACAGUCACCUUCUAGGUACGUAGUGAAAAAAAAUAUUCGAGUACAUCGUCGCUCUCUUACUUCUGUCAGUUGCUCGAAAGAGAUCCACAACUGAACCAUUUCAUCAGUUGUCAUGUUUUGCUUGACGAAAAAAUAAUAAAUUUAGUCGAGCAUUUUUGUUCAUUCGAUACUCGAUGAAUACGCAUUCUGCUUAAUUUUCAUGGCCUUUACUCUAAAUUAGGAGAACACCCGCUUUGAGGCUUAGAGCAUAGAUCUAUUAAGGAUGGUUUGAUAUUAAUUGCGCAUGAAAACCUAUCACUAGAAUCAAAUGUUAUGCUGUUAUCGAAGCAAGCAGUGCUGAUCGCGUUCUAACCAGUAGGCUUAGUAGGCUAGCCAGGACGAAAGUUUUCAAGUUGUCAUUAUUCCUCAAGAACUUGAAACGUUACCCGGUCAUCCUAUACAGCGGCCGUUCGCUCGUUGCAAAAUGUUUACUUUGCAACGAGCGAAUGCCAUUCGCUAAUUGCAACGUCACUUUGACACUAAAGUGCAUCGAAAUGCACUGACAGCAUGACUGACAGCACGAAUUUGACACUUGAUUGCUUUUUAAUUGCAAAAACUUGUCAAAUUUUGCAAUUAGCGGACUUGCAACUAAAAAGCGUUGCAACGAGCGGGUUUGCAACGAGCGAACGGACGCUGUACCUUCAUUCAAGAAAUGAAAGUUUCAUUUAAUAAUCAAAACUAAGUAUUAUUUUCACGGUUUUCAAUAUUCAAGUGUAAGGACUAUGUGCUGUUCUUGCGUAUUGGUUGAAAUUCUCAGGUUGGAAAUAUUACAAGAAACACCUGACAGAGCUGAAGAAAAUCUAAAUAAGGCUGAAACAAAGGGAAAAACCAUAUGUACCUAAGUAGGACCACAUUGCUUGCCGUGAAUAAUGAAGAUACUGACACUGAACAACAUAACGCAAAGGGCUCAUCAUCAUUUACCAUUUUUACAAAGGCUCCACUUGGCGGUUUACCAACUCAACUUAUCGUAGAGAGUAACAAACACAACUUCAUUUGUGAAGAUUAACUAGGGCGUUUUCCGCUGUAGAACCGGAAGUAUGGCCGGCUUAUAUAUAUAAAAACAAGUUCAAGAAAAAUAACCGAAUUCAGUUUAACAAGUACGCCUCCUACGCUACACCGAGUCCAUAGAAAUUGCCUUCCAGUCGUAGAGAUGGUGCAGAAUUUUGUCGAAGACAUCACCGUUCAAUUUUAUGAGCAGGAUAUUCUGCAAGACUUCAUCAGAGAGUCCACAUCGAAGAUCAGAAAAUACUAGAUUUAAAGCGCUAAACGCCCUUUCUACCGACACUUGGGUUGAGGGAGCCGCUAGUAUAACCAUCGCCAACUCAUAGAGCUCUGGAUGUGUGCUCUUACGUGCUCUCCAGUGGUUCCAAGGAUCAUAGUUGAAUGGCUGUCGGGGUUCUGCUUCCAACUGUCGUAGCUGCUUAUGGAAUGAAGAUGUUUCGCAUGCAAAUGAUGACGACCCUCCAAACAUCUCAGUGAUGAAACUGUCCAUGUCGUCCUGACUUGCUGAUUGAUCCAAAGAUGCAGAGGAAGUUUGGUCAGCUGACGAACCACCUCCUGAUGUAGAAGGGACAGCCUCCUUGAUUGAUUUCAGUCGAAGCCAUAGGGUUUUGAGAAAGUUCUGAAAUAAAAGUACAAUGAAUUGAGUAUUUUUUCUCGAUUUCCUGGAAGAUUCUAAUACGAAAGGUAAUUUCAUUUACACACCUGCACUGAUUCUUUUUCAUCUCCUGUCGUGAAAACCGUUGAUCCGGGGAAGUUUAGUCGUGGGUCCAUGUAUAUUGAUGCUUUGAAGCCAAUGCUUUCAGUUAGCUUCUUAAGCCGAUCCUUCAAUGCUUGUGAUAACGGCUUCGAAUAUGGACUGUCAAUUUUUUCGACAUCGUAAAUUGUUCUUAACCAUUGCAAGUAAAACUCGUUCAACGGAACGUGCUUUUUUUGCAAUGUUUUUGUCAGCUCGUAAACUGGUUCGAAGGCGUUAACGAAAUUUUUCAAAAAUAACCAGUCAGCAUCCGAUAGCUCUGAGGAGAAAAAAAUGUUAUUUAGUUUAUAGGCUUAUAGGCUCAUCAUGAAAAAAAUACAACCAGAAAAGACCCACUACAGGUCAAGAAUGGAACCCUUAAUAUGAAACUGCUGCUAUACUCACCAAGCUCUUUGUACUGCUGGCCCAGUUUGCGGUAAAAUACUUCUUGCUUGACGAUGGAAUUACACAUUUUGUAUUUUCCAUUCCAGCGAGUGACACCCCACAAUGGAGCUGUUGUUGCCUUCAUGUGUUCAAAGAACAAACUGUAUUUAACUUUUCGGGAAUCUUUUACAAAUUCGGUGAUUUUCUUCACAUCUGCAUCAUUCUUUUUGACCACAUCACCAACAGCCAGCUGUACGGUGUGAGCUGCACAUCGAACAAGAUUCAGAUGAGAGCCAAUUUCUUGGCUUACAGAUUCCAGGAACACGUCAGUGUCUUCGGAUUCCGGCACUUCUGGGUUAGCUUCGAUAGCUUCGAUUUCUGCCAGUUUCUGCAAUUGCUUAAUAGCAGAAAUCAUAUUUGCACCAUUGUCCGAGGUAGCAGAAUAGAUUUGAGAGAUGUCCACUUCAAAGGCCUGCAGCGUUUCGAGGAUUAUUUCCUUGAGGAAUUUUCCUGUUUGUCCCUCCUUGACUUCGAGCACGGCUAAAAGUAGGUUAGGGGUGGUGGGGGUAAAGUGGACAACCUAAGCAUUUUGGUCGUUUCCCGCGGAAAUGCGGCAAAAUCCAUCUGCUUUUCCGAGUAACAUGGAAGGUAAUGAUAUACUCUAAAAAUCUUGUAAGGGGUUGCCUUCAAAAAAUAUUGUUUUCUUUAAUUAUUUUCUUCACCAAAUCGUGCAUCAAAAUAGCGUGAAAAAAAUUGGUGGGGGUAAAAUGGACAAUCGAUGGGGUAAAAUGAACAAGUCGUUAAAAGUUAUAUAACAGCAUAUUGUUUCUAUGUUUUUAAAAACAAACUAUCAAAUUUCAUACGAUACCUCUAUUUUGUUGUUUUCAAACUUUUAAUACAAACUUUGAAACACACUUAAAUAAUUAUUGUAAAAAUAGUGUAGAAAACAACUAGGGGCAAGACACUGUGAAAUCCGGAGCAACUCUGAACAAUCCUGAGUAACUCUUUUUGGUCGAAUCCAUUCAGAAACGUCUCUACGAAGCGGGAAAUCAGGCAAGACUGCUCGAUUUUUCACUCGUAUCAGGCAACACUUCGGGAUAACCAGAGUGAUCCAGAGCAAUCCAGAGAAAUUCUGAGCAACACUUCGAUAACAGAGUUACUCUCGCUGUAUCUGUCUUGCCCCUAGGAAAACAAGCACUGUUUUGGAUGAAAAUUAUAUUUUGUUGAUAUGAAAUUUUUUUUUAUAACUUUUUACUUCAACUAUCUCACGAUAGGUAUGACGGCUAAUGAUUCUGAAGUUUGCAAAAAAAUAUAUGAAAUUUUGGUGAAAUUUGAACCGAUUGUCCAUUUUACCCCCACCGGUCUGAUUUUGUUAAAAUUAUUCCCAAAACAUUUUUUUUUACAAAACUUAUUUUUUUUCGGUCAAAUAUAUUCAUCUACGUGGGCUCUAUUGGUAUAGGGUGUAAAACUUGUUAUAAUUUGAAAAUAACUUACGAGAAAACCUUAGCAAUUAUAAGCAAAUUUUACAUCAUUUCCGAUUUUUCACGUGAUUUUUAAAGUUUUUGUCAUCUUGAAGAGGUUUAUUUGAUUUCAGUGGUCAAGAUCAGCAAAAGUAUAAUGAUUCAUGCUUAGGCAUAAGCUUCAAUCGUUGAAACAUUUUGAAAAACAAUAAAAGCCAUGAAACUGUACCCUGUCCAUUUUACCCCACCUGUCCACUUUACCCCACCACCCCUACAGUGAAAAACACCGACGUUAUUGUGGAUUUAUCGGCUACUUGUAUUCUACCGGUUACUUAGGUAGCCAUUACAAAGAAGCCGUUUUCAUAUAAAAAUCAACUUGAUUGUCAAAAAAUGAAUGUCGCUGAGUAGCUACUGGCAACGAAGAAUAGCGCAUACAAUAAAAAUGUUAAAAAUCAUUUUUAUAUUAUUCUUUUUAUAAAACGGCUACUUUGGAGGCCAUACUGAAGCGACCGGUAGAAUACAAGUAGCCGGGAAAUCCACAAUAUUUUUGUUUGAAAAGAAAGGCGGUGGAAAUAAUACAGGGAUGUUCAGUUUGUUUAUUGAUGAUAGGUACUUACCAAGCGUUCGAAUUACAAUUUCUCCUCCUUUCUCGUACUGUGCUUGGAUGCACACUAUGUGGCGGUUAUGUUUUGAUGCAGAAUCAAUCAUGAUCGAGAUCAUUUUUCCGCGCAUCUCUUCUUUAAUCGCCUCCUUGAUUUUAUGGGCUGCAGCGGUUAGGUGGUCUUUGAUGCUGUGCCGGUUUAUACCGAAUUUGAGAGCAUCAGUGAGAGGGUUCAAAAUCAAUCGGAAACCUUCCCACUCGAAGCAGUAGAGGGGGAGAUGAUGCUGUGUGACCAACUUGAUGCAGCCCUGUAGUAGAAUCGUUUUGUCGAUGGCAACCAGAACCUUCGGAACAAUGCGACUUUUUUUCUCCGGUACUUCGGUUUUUCCAAUAAGCUGCAGCCGAGCAGCGGCUUCCGGAUGUUUCGUUCGGAAAUGUCUCAGGAAAUUCCCGAUGUCCAGCCGCUCCUGACGAUACACGCAUCCGCUCAUCGGAUCUAUCAUGCAUCGAUGAGUGCUUUCCUCGACACGCAUGCAUUCCAACGCACGGGUGCUGAAAUUAUCUUUCCGUUUUUCACUACUUUCGGCCAUUUCCACAAAAUUGAAUCACACGCGUCGGGAAAACAAACAAAACUGAUGAUGGUGCUAAGACGACGACGACGGCGGCGGAGACAAACGUCAAACUUGGUGAUAGUAUUGAGAGAGAAUGAACCACCUGACAAGUUUUUCAAGUAGAUUCAUUCAACGCUUGAUGGUUUUUAUUAUUUUUUUGUCCUCGCAUACAAACACAAAGAGAAUAGAGGGCAAACAAUAAGAGAGCAUUCUAGUUUCAUCGACAUACGUCGCUCUUUCGUCGUCACUGAUGAAUGACGCAUCGAAAUGAAGAUUUUUUUGAGGUGAAGAUUUAUUUUUGGUUUUCGUCAACCGUCACUGACGA